ensembl:lncRNA
AUUGUGAAUAACAUGGGUUUAUGAGAUUUACAAAUCACUGCAUUCUUUUUAUUUACAUUUUACAGGGUGUCCCAACAUUUUUGGAAUUGGGGUUGUAAAACAUCAGAGCGCUUCAUGAGUGAGGUGUAACUUUGUGAUUUUUGUAAUCUAAGUAGGGUUUUGUUUGUUUGUUUGUUUGUUUGUUUGUUUGUUUGUUUUAACAGUUUCCAGUUUUUAAAAUCUGUCUUUUUGUGAGUGUGGAAGUGGCAGUGCUGGUUUGAUUAGCAGGUAUACUGAGCAGGGGGUUAGGGAUUUACUCCCCUUUCCAAAACCUUGGUUACACUGCAGAAUUAGCUGCUGAAAGAAUGCACACGGAUGGAACGGCUGUGCGUCCUGGGGGCCGGAGCUUAAGCACAGGCCGAGUGGCAGGAUUACGGAGGAAAUGAGAGGACAGAGCAGGGGACCUAAAGUCAGGAGGGCACGACGGCUCCAGACGUCUCCUGUAGCUUUGAAGCCAGUGCAAUCAGUUUAAAGAACAAAAGCAACAGUUGCUGUAGAAGCACUUGAGUCUCAAAAUGCUAAAGACAUGGGUGAAAGCUCUGGAGUACAGAGGGUGCAAUGGACUGUGAAUAGCAAGACAAGACAGCUCCCUGGAGCGAGAGGCUGGAGUGAGGGCCUUACAGCUGUUUUCUGGAGAUAAUUGAUUUUGGAAUAGACCAGAGAUGAGAGCGGACAGGCGGGGCUGAUGGCGCACUGCAGCGGGGUCCAAGCCAAUUUCCGCAGGCCUUGUCCCUUUAAUUACUGUGGUGCUAGAGCAUGGGAUGCGCCCACUCUCCCAUCCAGGUAAAUUAAAGCCCUUUGCUCAACCAACCCUGCUGCAUCCCCCAUCACCCAGUGGCCUGAUGAAUUUUUCAUGGAUUGGCCUCUCUCCUUCGCUGGCCUGCCGCUGUGGCUGGAGGCAGUGCUUCUGGUGCCUUUUCCCGUGCCCUCUUAGAGAUUCCCAGCUGACAGCUUAUGAGAAAAGGUUGCAUAUGCAUAGCUAGAUUGUGCUGUUGAUUAGUUUUCUUGAUCUGUUUGGAUUCUCACGACCUAAAGGAGCCAUAAUGGCCUACAGAUCUGUCAUAGACAUGAGAGCAGCUGCAUGCCCAGGUGUACCCAUCAUGCCUCCCCUUGACUCAGUGCACAAUAGGAGCAGAACAGUGCAUCUUAUGGAAAGUGACACAUGGUGUUGUGUUCUGCAGGGUUAAUCCCCCCAUGGGGGAAGAUGACAGGAUCUCUGUGGCCCUGAAUAUGUAUCAAACUGCCACAAGUCACAUUCCAACCCAGCUUCAAUCAGAAGCUUUUAUCAGGAGUCCUGCCUGCAGAGCUGUUAGGCCCUCCAUUAUAAUAUUAUAAUAGUCUAUUAAUGCUGUUACAACACUAGCUGUAUCUAAGGCAUUGUUUGCAUCCCAAGAAUGUCAGUACUUGUUUGUCUUGACAUACAUUCUGUUUGUGUUGAUUUGACCUUCUGCAGCAGUGACUUGAAGUGAGUCAAAACUACAGAUUCAGGGACAAUAGAGCUGACAAAUCUGAUAGGUAUCGAACAUGAAAUAAGCAUGGAAAUGCAAUGAGACAUUGAUU